rnacentral:misc_RNA from 1 species
GGUUCAGCGCGUUGCGAAAUCCCUCGACCGCCUGAUCGCGAUUGGCAGCGGCUUCUUCCAGCGUUUUGCCCAGACGCGCUUCCCGCGUCUUGCGGAAAUAAGCCUGGUCGGCAGGACGGAGCAGGCCGUGAAUGUCCGCUGCGAUCAUCGGAAAGAUGCCGCCAAGGACAACCGUAUNCCGGCCCAUCGCGCGGCCGCCUUCGCCGCCGAACAGUGACGGGCGGUCGGGAUAGGUGUCUUCGAGAUAGUUCGCGAUCGCCCAUGAAUCGGCCACCGACGUAUCGCCGUCGAUGAACACCGGCACCUUGUCGGACUGAUGCGGCGCGAUGGCGUCCUUUUCGCUGAAGCGCCACGGGAUCGUUUCGGCCUUGA